rnacentral:rRNA from 1 species
GAGUUUGAUCCUGGCUCAGAAUGAACGCUGGCGGCGUGCCUAACACAUGCAAGUCGGAUGUGCCGCAAGGUGCAUGGCAGACGGGUGAGUAACGCGUGGGGAACCUACCUCUUCGUGGGGAAUAACGAUCCGAAAGGAUUGGUAAUACCGCAUGAGACCGAUGGCUGGGAUGCUGUCGGUGAAAGCUGGGGACCAGCAAUGGCCUAGCGCGAGGAGAGGGUCCUGCGUCUGAUUAGCUAGUUGGUGAGGUAAUGGCUCACCAAGGCGACGAUCAGUAGCUGGUCUGAGAGGAUGACUAGCCACAUUGGGACUGAGACACGGCCCAAACUCCUACGGGAGGCAGCAGUGGGGAAUCUUGCGCAAUGGGCGAAAGCCUGACGCAGCCAUGCCGCGUGAAUGAUGAAGGUCUUAGGAUUGUAAAAUUCUUUCACCGGGGACGAUAAUGACGGUACCCGGAGAAGAAGCCCCGGCUAACUUCGUGCCAGCAGCCGCGGUAAUACGAAGGGGGCUAGCGUUGCUCGGAAUUACUGGGCGUAAAGGGCGCGUAGGCGGACAUUUAAGUCAGGGGUGAAAUCCCAGAGCUCAACUCUGGAACUGCCUUUGAUACUGGGUGUCUUGAGUGUGAGAGAGGUAUGUGGAACUCCGAGUGUAGAGGUGAAAUUCGUAGAUAUUCGGAAGAACACCAGUGGCGAAGGCGACAUACUGGCUCAUUACUGACGCUGAGGCGCGAAAGCGUGGGGAGCAAACAGGAUUAGAUACCCUGGUAGUCC